GCGCCUGUAGCUCAGUGGAUAAAGCAUGUUUCUUAGGCAAGAGGUCAUGGGUUCGACCUCUACCUAGCGCG
rnacentral:tRNA from 1 species